rnacentral:rRNA from 1 species
CAGUCGCCGCGGUAAUACGUAGGUGGCAAGCGUUGUCCGGAAUUAUUGGGCGUAAAGGGCUCGCAGGCGGUUUCUUAAGUCUGAUGUGAAAGCCCCCGGCUCAACCGGGGAGGGUCAUUGGAAACUGGGAAACUUGAGUGCAGAAGAGGAGAGUGGAAUUCCACGUGUAGCGGUGAAAUGCGCAGAGAUGUGGAGGAACACCAGUGGCGAAGGCGACUCUCUGGUCUGUAACUGACGCUGAGGAGCGAAAGCGUGGGGAGCGAACAGGAUUAGAUACCCCGGUAGUCCCUGUCUCUUAUAA